UACGGGGGGGGUAAGCGUUGUUCGGAAUUACUGGGCGUAAAGGGCUCGUAGGCGGCCAACUAAGUCAGACGUGAAAUCCCUCAGCUUAACUGGGGAACUGCGUCUGAUACUGGAUGGCUUGGAUUCGGGAGAGGAAUGCGGAAUUCCAGGUGUAGCGGUGAAAUGCGUAGAUAUCAGGAGGAACACCGAUAGCGAAGGCAGCUCGCUGGGACGGUACUGACGCUGAGGCGCGAAAGCGUGGGGAGCGAACAGG
rnacentral:rRNA from 1 species